UAUAUCCAUUCUCCUGUUGAGAGACAUUUAGGUUUUUUUAUUCUUUAUUUUCAUUUUAUUUUUCUAUUAUAAGAAAUGCUUGUACGUGUGUCCUUGUGUUCAGAUGUGACUGCAUCUCACUGGAGAAAUGCUACUACAGGGCAGCAGAGGAUCUGCUUCCUUUUUUUUUUUUUUUUUUUUUUUUUUUUUUAGAUGUUGCAAAAUGCUUGCCAAAGUGGUUAUGAUAGCUCCUGCUUUUCACAUCCUCACUUGUAUUUGACAUUGUCACACUUUAAAAUUUUUGCCAAUCUGAUAGGUAUGUAAUGGCAUCUUAUUACUUAAUUCACAUUCCCCUGAUCACUAGUAAAAUUGAAUUGUUUUUCUGCAUGUUUAUUGGCCAUUUUUUCCCCUUCCAUUACGUGCUUAAAAAUUGUAUUGCAGAAUAGUGUGGGUUUCUUUUCUUCUACAGCAUGAAAUUACUGCUUUUUAUUUAGCCUGUAGUUAAAUAUGAUUUCCCAAAGACUAGUCUAUUCCUCCUGCCACUGCUGUCCUCCUGCUGCCGUUACUGAUAGUUCCUCUACUGCUUAUUUUCUGAAUGGCUCUUCUGUGAUGGAAAUGCUUAUUACUCCAAUUCUCAUAAGGAACAUGCAGAGACAUUAUAAUUUCCAUUUUAAAGAUAGGAAAACUGAGUUUGAGAGGGACUAAGUGAUGUAUAAAAAGUUAUACAUCUAAAAAGUAGAAGACUUUUAUUCAAGUUUAAAUUCAUUUUUCUAAAAGCACUUUUUCUCCCUGCCUCCCUAUUUUUCCUUUGUCCAGUUUUUCUCCUUAGUUAUAUUCUCUAAAUAUCUUGUAUUGUUUCCAUCAAUUUUGUACUUUUUAAAGCUACUUUUCUAAUUUGUCAGGGAUAUUUCAAAUUUUCUUUCUGUCCUCUAAUAAUUACUUUGUGAUAUAUUGACAUUUCUUAAUUGCAAUUGAGUUUUUUUUAAUUGGUCUUUGUCUUUAUACAAAUAGAUUGAUUAGAAUGGUUAGCAAUGAUGCAUCAUUUGAGCCACCAUUUAAAAUUGUCAAGUGAAGAGUGAGUCAUUUUUAAAUAACUCUAUUUCAGAGCAUCGCAGGUAACAGCAAUGGGGGCAAUGGCUUGUUUCCUUGAGUGUUAAUAUUUGUGAUGACUUCUAACACUUUAUUAAAAGCAUGUAAUAUUUCUUUUUUGUGUAAUCUAUGCUUUAGCAUAGGAGGAAACUAAACCAGUAUAAAAUGCUAUGUUCUUCUGGAUACCAUAUUGAUGCUUGCACGAUAUUUUAUGCACAAAAUAAUUGCUAUUUGAUUAGUGACUUGUUCUGUUAUUUCAGGCACUGAUGGCAAUCUGCCUAACCUGUCUUUGUUAACUCAUCCUAUUCAACAAGCAUAGAUUUAGUCCCAAUUGUAUAACAUGUACAACAUGCUUGGCUCUGGGAAUAAUAACCCACUAUCUCAUACUAAUUGAGAUAGGAAAGGAACUUCACAUGCAUCUUCCUCAGACCCUUUGUGGGGUUAUUAGCUCAUUUCUACAAAUGAGAAAGCUGAGGUUGAUGAAACUGGGCAAUAUACCCACUCUACAGAACUUAUAAGCAUUGGACACUUGAUCAGUCACAUACAUUCUUUAUUGAUUUCUAUAGCAAGCAGAUGUCAGGCCAAAUUCUUGUGUUUCAUUACCUGUGUUAGAGUCUUGGGAGAAGGAAGAGGAUAAAAUAAGUACCAGCAAGGAAAGAGAAGGAAAAUGGUUAGGUCUAACUUGAGCCGUCUGAGUGUAGGCUCCUGGCAAAGUUGUUAGCCCAGCAUUCUCAGGAUGCUGAGACUUGGAAACUGGCGAAGAGAAAGAUAAGUUUAUUUAAAAUUUUACAUGUGACAAGGCCUGCUACUCCCUUUAGAUGCUGUGGGUAGGUAAAGUAGAGAACAAAGGCCUGGCUCCUGAAAUAAAAAUGAAUGCUUUAUGUAUUUAUUUAUUUAUUUAUUUAUUUAUACUAUUAACUCACCAGUGAUUGUGUUUGUAAUAACUGAUAUUCACAAAGAGCUGUGUAGUGGUCCAUAAACAAUUACUUUCAGGCUUACUUGUUAGGAAGCUGACCUACAUUGCUUUGCAAUGGAUUCUGAAUAUAGUGCAAAUGGAUUUUAUCAUUACUAGCAUCACUAUUUUUAUUAAAUGUGAAAUAUGACAAAGAGGAUUAAUGCUUGUCAACAAGCCUACUUAGCACUUCAUAGUUUUCCUUUUCAAAUGUGCUUUUGCAACUAUUAACCAGACAAAUGAUUCUACUGUGAUGUGAAUAGAAGCCACACAGCUGUAACUCUAUACUCUGUGAAUAUGUUUCCUGCAAUGUCAAUUAAUUUUGCUUCCUGAAGCAUAUUCUUUCAUGUAUAGUUUCAUCCAUGCUGUGUGUUCUGCCUGGAAUGAUUAGAGGCCUGCAAAAGUGGAUAAAAAUAACAAAUUAAAACAGAAAAAAACAACAAAACAUAAUAGCUUUUCAGGAGUUAGGCCCAAACUCAGAAUCUGUUUUCUUUCCAUUUUCCAUGUUUUCAUUUAUAGUGUAAACUAUUCGCCUUUCUCCCACCCCUUGAUAAGAAUGGUCUUUUGCACUCUAUUAACCCCAGGUUCUAGAAAAAAGCAAUUUCCUAACAGGUGAAUUAACACUAGAUAACAUUACCUCAAAUGCCAAGUCAUUUAAUGUGUAAUUGAAAAAAAAAAAAUUUGGGAGGCAGUAUUGCAAUGUCUUUUUUUUUUUUUUUUUUUUUUAACAUUAUAAAGGGUCUUUUCAAACUAACCAUAGGCUCCCAACCUCCCGAGAGUGAUUUGCCUAUUAACAAAGCUCAAGAACAACUCCCACUACUAGUACACGAAGAAAUAGCCCCCAAUUUCCAAUUACUUUUGCCGCUGACAGUUCACUGGACUGUUAAGACGCAUUCUUCACCAUUGUGUGGAUGUGGUGAAGCCAGGCAGUCGUGUGUGCUUCUCUUUUUGAUUAUGCAGUAAUUAGACUGUUCCACUAAUGGAAGAAGGGAAAAAAGUUUCUAGAGAAAAUGACAUCCGGUGUAGCUCGCUUUGAAAAACUCACUGGCACAAAAGAAGAAAGAGUAACCUUUUUGUCACGAACACUGUGAAAGGUUUUAUGCGUUAACUAAGCAGCAUUAAAAAUGGAAAGUUGGAAUCUCAAAUUAGCUCAGGCAUAAUUGUGUGUUUGCUUGCAAAUAAUAAAGCAAAUAGGUGUUUUAGACAAGCUCAUUAGUCAAUAAUAAGGCCUUUCAGAGAUGUACACAGGAGACUUGCUGGAUGUGGAUGAGCAUCUCUAAGAAUUCCGGAUUCUGUGUCUCUGCUCCGUGAAUUCAUUAAAGAUCCCUUGACAGUGUUCGGAGAGUGGGAGUUUGCCCUUUUGUCCUUGAACCGGCUUCACCUGAGAGCUCAGCUCUUUCCUGUGAAUUGAAAAUGGCAAUUCUUUAUUCAGUGCACUGCAAAUGACUAGCAAUCUAUUGCAGGAGAAGAUUUUCAAUCUGUCUGCAACUAGCUGCCAAAACUUUUGGAUGAAUAGGGAAGAAUGCCGUCAAUCACCCAGAUGUUCCUUCCGCAGGAGGCCAUGCACCCAGCUAUUUGGAAACAAUCAGGUGCCUGGAACAUGAAGACAGCACAUCUGGAAUAGUCUCAGUCUUGGAUGCACAGAGGUAAUGGCGGGAUGUGAAGAAAGAAAACAGGACCGAGAAUAAGAAAGGUGCACUGUUACCCAACUAUGGAAUAAAGGAAGGUAGGUAGAGGGGUGUUUAUUCGGUGUGGGGAAUAGGAUGAAAUGUGCUCACUCCAUACUGCAGAGUCUGUUAAAAUGACUGUGGUGAAGAGGGGACUUGACUAGGAGCCAGGGUGACUGGGAGUCAGUUAGUCCAUAGACCCUUGGUAAAAUGACUGAGAUCUAUUAAUAAGUACCCUACCCACACUCCUAUCCUGUAUUUACACUGGGGCUUAAAGUUUUUUGUCUUACAGCUGGCACUAGAAUUACACUUAAAAAUGAUGUAGUUAUUUAGGAAAGAACUUCAGUAAGACUCAGAGAGAAAGAUGAGAUCUUACUGAAUCUACAGAAACAUAACCCACAAGUAAGAGAGUUGCAUUACUCUAAGUUAUAAAGAAACAGAAAUUAGGACAGUAGAGGAAAGACAGGAGAGGAAAGGAGACAGGAGUCAGUGAGAAGAUGCAGGGCUAAAGUAUCACAGGUGAAGUGGUCAGUGGAAAAGAGUCCCUGUGGAAUGGGGUAAAACAGAUUUAAGAGCAAGACUACUUGAAAGGCUGACAUUCAUUUUGAACUUGUUUACAGUUUUGUAAUGUAAGAUUCCCUUCUCUUCCCCCCUUAAAUAUCAAUAAUAUCUAAUAGGUUUUUAGGGGGAACUGAGAAAGUGGCUUAGCUUUAUACUCGAGUUAAUGUGGUAUAGAACACAGAGUGUGUGUACCUGAGAAGGUGAGAGGUAAGACCUCUAAGAAAGAGGUCAUCAGGAUUGUAUAUCCCACUCACUGUCAUAUUCCCUAGAAUUUGGAGAAAAACUGGUGAAGGCUUUGGAUUUCCAAAGGACAUUAAAUAGAAUGUGAGUUAUUUAGAUAAGUUCUACAUAAAGAUUUUCAAGGUCAGGGAGCCGUGAGCUGACAUCUAGGCUAUCCUAGAGGUCUGGACCCCUACUUUCUUCCUGUUAUAAUAAAAAUGUUUUUUCUCCUUUAAGGAACGGAUUUAAUGCAACAGCUGAGCACGAUGAUAAAUCAUCUGAAACUAGCGUGGGCCAUCUGGCUGUCAUGAAUAGUCUUAAAUAAAUGGAACCCAAAGUAAGAAAUAUAAAGAGACAGUAGGUUCCAUCUUAGUUGAGCUUAAAAAAAAUGAGCAAGGUUUAAAAAUCACGCUCUGGUUUUCAGAGGCUUCUAUAUUGCUUUGUGAAACAUAGACUAGUUGUUGAUGAUUAUGACAUCAUGACUAGUUCUGGGCAAUGAAAGCAAAAAUAGGAUUACAAAAGAACUCACAGAAUUCAGAAUGCCAGAGAGAUCCUGCAGAUAAUCAAUUUCUCUGUUCCUAUCAAUUUAUAGAGACUCAGCCUUUAUUUAUCACUAAUGGAAGCUUAAUGAUGUUACAACUAUUAUCUCUUGAUGAUUUCUUUUUCUUAUAGGUCCAAAUUUAGAGGUAUCUGUGUAUUCAUUCAUUUUCAAGCAUUUAUUGUGUUCACUACAUGUCAGAUGCUGAUACAUCACUGCGAAUGCACAGAUAAGUAAGAUCUGGUCCCUAUCCUCAGGAGCACAUACUCUGAUGAAAAGAUAUCAGGCAAACAUUGCUAAUAGAAUUACAAGUCAUGACACUUUGCCGUGGUUUCAGUGUGAGCAUGGUAAAGAGAGGUUACUUUAACUUUGCCUGAGGAAGACAAAGAAGCCUUCAAAGAAGGGGUUACUUGUGAAUAAAAGCAUAAUAUCAUUAGAACCAGAAACUUGGGGUACCUUCUAGGAAGUCAAAUAGGUGUAUUAAGAUGAAAUCAAGCAUAGAAAUAUGAAAGGUCUAAUUUUAUGGGUAGAUAUUAUAUUUCUCAUCACUAUUCCAACCACAGGAAAAAAAAAGCAGUGUGGAUAAAGACUCAUCCACCUAUAGAUGAAGACAUAUGUCUAAAUAUUUAUACCUACCAUAAAUAUGUUGCACAUUAUAUAAGUUAAUAUAAGCUAAGCUGUUGUAAAUAUAGACUCCAAAUUUAUUGGCUUAAGGAAUAGUUUAUUUCUUGCUUAUGUGAUUCCAGAGUUGGUUUUCCAGGGCUGAAGGUAGCUCUUCUCUGUGCAGAGAUUCAGGGAACAUGGCUACUUCUGUCUGUGACUCUAUCAUAUCCAGGGGUUUCUUGUCAACAAAAUAGCUGAGACUGAGUCAUCGUGUCCAGGUUCGAGACUAGAAGGGGAGGCAGAGGGUGAAGUAGACCCGCUGCUGCCUUAAAGCUUCCUGCUUUGUUUUGAAUGUGUCCUCCCCCAAAUUCAAAUGCUAAAACUUAGCUGCCAAUGUGAUGGUAUUAAGGAGUGGGGCUUUUAAAAGGUGGUUAAGCUAUGAGGGCAGAGUGCUUAUAAAUGGGAUUAGAACCCUUAUGAAAGGGCUUGAGGGAGUGAGCUCACUCCCUUCUAUCUUUUCUGCCAUAUGAGGACACAAGGUUUGUCCCCUCUGAAGUUUGCAGCAACAGGGUGCCAUCUUGGGAGCAGACAGCAGCCCUCACUAGACACUGACCCUGCAAGCACCUUGGUAUUGAACUCCCCAGCCUCCAGAAUUGUGAGAAAUAGAUUCUGUUGUUUGUGAAUUACCCAGUUUCCAGUAUGUUGUUACAGCAGCACAAAUUGACAACACCCCCUAAAGUAGUAUACAUCUUGUUUACUUAUGUUACCUUCAAUUGGCCAAAAUCAGUCUCAUGGUUGCAUUUACUACAAAGAAGGUGGGAAAGGUAAUCUCGUCAUGUGCCCAGGAAGGAGAGAGUAGAUUUUAAUUGGCAGUACGCAUUCUUUGUUACAGAAAUAAAAUUAAAAUUGAUAAAAAUUAAACAGUCUAGAUCAUUCUAAAUGGAUCUAAACUUAUAUAAAAUGUAUCAGGAUGAUAUAUAAAUUCCUUCACUUAGGCUAAAAUAUUACUUGCACGAACAGAGAACAGUAAAGGCAAAUUAACAAUGUUCACAUGGGAAAAAGAUGUGGAGGUUUUGCUUGGAGACUAAUUCAACAUGUGCCCACAGUUUAAUGUGGUUCCUGAAAAACAAACCAACACACAAACAAAAAGUGAAUAUAAUUAUAGGCUGCAUCAAUACAAGUGUACAGGAAGAAAAUGAAUUCUGCUCUAGAAAGAUUUAAUUCAAGAUCUUUUAAUAGCGUUCUGGUUCUAUUUUUAAGAGGCACACAAGUAAGCAGAAAGGGUUUAGGAUGACAGGGUACAGAGAUUUAGAAACCAAGUUAUGUGAGGACAAGUAGUAUAGAAACCAUGUUCUGUCCUACAGAAGAGGUAUCAUGAUGAUGGAAGGGUGUGUGUGUGUGUGUGUGUGUGUGUGAAUUGAAGUGGGAAAAGGUAUGCAUUAAAGUGGUCUUUAAAAUUCAAAGAAAUUUAAAGUUUAAAUGCUUGAAGGUUAGCCAUAUGGAAGAGAGAGUAGAUUCAUUCUCUUCUGCAUCACAGAACCAAGGAAGGAACAUUUUGGCUUAAUAUGAUGAAGAUCUGCAUAAUUGAAGCUAUCCAAGAAUGGUGGAACAGGCUGCAUAGAGAAUUAUUGAGAUUCACAUCACUGGAAGUGCUUGAUCGGAAGCUGAAUGACCUCAUGUCAAGCCUGCUGUAGAGAAACUUUCCUCUCAGUGUGGACUAGAUGAUGUCUAAAAUGUUUUCCAAUUUUAGGGGAACUGUUUUUACUCCCCACACUUCUGACACCAAAUAUGUGCUUUUUCUUUAAACCAACAAUCAAUUUUCCAACUUUCUGGACACCAACUGGAUGUCCAACAACUAAAUUUAAUUACAACAUGAGUGGAGUUAGUGUCAGAUCCCACAGGUUAAGGGCUCUGUCUCACAAGACUGCCUCUACUUCAGAAGCCAAUUGCAAGCCCUGGACCUCCUGUACUUCUGAUCAAUUGGCUAUCAAUCAGGAGUUCCCAUGACUCCCUCCUUGGGUUUGACAAUUUCCUAGAGCUAGAAUGGCUCACAAAACUUAGUCAAACAGUUUUCUUACUCUUUCUGGUUUAUUAUAAAGGCUACAAGUCAGGAACAGCCAAAUGGAGGAGAUACGUAUGGCAAGGUAUGUGGGAAGGGGCAUGCCACUCGCCCAGCAACCUGGAAGCUCUCAGAGCCCCAUAGCUUAUCAUUGGCCAUUUGUGAUUAACUCAAUCUUCAGUCUCUCCUCUCCAUUGAUAUUGUUGGGGUGGGACUAAAAUUUCCAAUGCUCUGAUCAUGCUUUUGGUCUUUUUGGCAAUCAGGCCUAUCUAGGAGGUAUCUAGAGACCCACAAGUACGGUGAUCUCAUUAGCAUACACAAAGAUGCUCAUCACUCCAGAGAUUCCAAGGGUUUUAGAUGCUCUUGUGUCAGGAACUAGGGACUAACACCAAAUAUUAUAACAAAAGACGUCGUUGUCACCCCUGUCACUCAGGAAAAUAAAAAUGAUUUUAAGAGCUCUGUGCCAGGAACCCAGGAUGAAGACCAAAUAUACAUAUAUUUUAGUAUAUGACAAUAUCCCACUAGGUUUCACUAAAUUCGACAUUAUUUCUAUGGUUUUUCUGGAUGAUUCAGGCCAAAAUAAUAUUCCUGUUGAAGUUUAUAAAUAAAAGCUACCACACGCAACUUGGUCAUGAGACACAGACAGUGUGGCCAGCAUCAUGGGCACGCCCUUCCCUGCUGGAAAAGUACUUUUAUAAUUGUCUAACUAGCAAUUAUUUUCAUGACACACCAUUCUGCUUAAAAUCACAUACUGAAAGACAAACUAUGAUUAUUCAGACUUGAGAACUUGGCAGACAUUUUGAAAGUUAACAGUGUAAGUCUGUCACUUCAAGAGGACAAUGAACAGUAUUUAUUGUUCAUGAAAAUAUUUGAGCUUUUAAGCCAAAAUUAACAGUGUGGACUCUUGUAUUUGCCACAUAACCAUGACAGCUUCCUGGUACUUAAAAGAAUUUUCUGAUGAGGCCAGUAGUGAUGUUAACAAGUGUGAUUUUUUUGGAUAUUACAUAAUGAAACUUGUCAACAUUUGAAUAAUCUGUAUAACAUAGUGAGCCAUUAUUUUCCAAAUGAGCAAUUCCAAAUGAUGCAAUGAUGUUUUAAAAAUUAUGCAUGAAUAAAAGAUCCAAAGUACACAAUAAACCAGUAAAUUUUUUUAAGAAACAAAGUACAAAAAUUAUUGACAUGGUUUCAGAUUUCACCCCACAAAUGACUUUAAAGAAAUCUAUACUUGCUGAGUUUUGGUGUAGCAUCAAAGAAGAAUAUCCACAAUUAUCUGAAAUUACUACUAAAAUAUUAAUCCCUUUUUACUACAUGUAUCUUUGAGGCCAGAGUUUUUUCAUUUUCUGUACUCAAACCAUACAUUGCAAUAGAUUGAAUGCAGAAACAGAUUUAAGAAUCUAGCUGUUUUCUUUUUUUUUUUUUAGUUGAGUGAAAAUUAGAAGUUUAUAGGAAAUGAGAAAAAAAUUAUUACAAGAAAGCAGAUAAAAAUCAAAACAGGAAUUAGACAAGGGUCUUGGUGUGUUAUUUUGGGUGUUAAGUGAACA